rnacentral:lncRNA from 1 species
UCCAUCAGAAAGCUCGACCACGCUUCUGUCGCUGGGCAUGGAUCCCGUCCGCCGGUCAGAGAAGGCUCCGCCUCCUAAUUACAGUAUGUGCACUUGAAUGCAUUUUAUUUAGUGACAGAAGAUUGCGUGUUUUGGUUAUGUGUACAGCUAACCUAUCUACUUUGAACGCAAUUUGGAUUUUUCCUAUUGCCUCAUUUGCAAAGUAAGUCUCUUCUAAAUUGGAUGUGUUACUUGAUGUCCUGGGUGAUCGUAAUGACUCAUUCAGUGUACAAAUAUUUUAUGGAGGUAGCAAUUCAUAAUUAUUUGUGUUCUUUUUUGCAAAAAAAGAAAAACUUUAUCGGGUUAUGUUGGACGCCACGUCAUUCAAGUACGUUCAAAUACGUAUGGAUAGAGAGUUAAUGAUCAUAUCGAUCAAGUCAAGCAACUUCAAUGACCAUUAUUUACACUUUUCUAUGUAUAAUAGUCAAACUGAAACACACUAACAAUUACAAUGACCAUUUGUAUAUUUUACUCAAGAAAAAUAUUUUAAAAAAAAGAGAAAAGGGAAAAUGUAUAAUUCCAAAAAAUAGAAUAAUUCUGUUCCUGCCACAGUUGACCAAAGCUCUGCGGUCUGGAGUCGAUUGACCAAAGCUCUGCGGUCCGGAGUCGAAAAAGAAAAUCUCUAUGAUUCAAUGGUACUUUUAUAUUUAUUUGAGCUGCAGUUUUGAGUUUUUUGAAAAGAUGUCGCUACCUUUUUUUUUAAAAGCUAACACUAGCUUUCUUUUAGAAGAUGUGUUUAGCUUUCUUAGCUAAAAAUCUCAUAAAACUGAGCUCUCCAACUUUCCAAAGAAACUCAGAUUUUCUAGACUUACAGCUUUUCGGAAGGUGCACGAGAAAUUCACUAUUUGUUUGAGCUUCUGACUCUUCAUGCUGAGAGAAGCUGCCACGAAGUUUAAACAAGUUGUACAGGGAAUAGGCUACUCCUGUACAAGCAAAACUCGAGGUGAGAUCAGUGGCAGAGACCCUCCUCUGCGAUCGCCGGCCGAAAUCACUCGCACAGUAGAAGUAGAACACAGGAUAUAUAAGAGGUUGUCCCUAGCUUAAAAACGGUGGCCGGAGCCAAUGCCAUCGUCGAAGUUCUGGGAGUAGCUCUGCUGGUCGUAGCCGAAGCUCGCCGCGGCCCGGCCCGGCCUCCCGGCGCUGCUCCUCAGCCUGCACCGCAGCAGCCUCCUUAACAGCUGCCUCACCGGUGCCGCCGGCCGCCGGCGGCUCUGUGCAUGCGCAGGGACAGCAGUGUCACCAUCCUUUCUCCGUCUCCGGUCGAUCACACCGUUGCACCACUCGACGAAAUUCGCAGUGUUUUGCACCUGUCUCUGCAGCUUCUGAAAACCAUAUCCUAACGAAAACCUCCAAACGCUGCUGCUUUAUAAGCUCGGAUGGCC